UACAGAGGGUGCGAGCGUUGUCCGGAAUUACUGGGCGUAAAGGGCGCGUAGGCGGCUUGGUAAGUCGGGGGUGAAAGUCAGCGGCUCAACCGCUGGACUGCCUUCGAGACUGCCUGGCUUGAGCAUGGUAGAGGCUGGCGGAAUUCCCGGUGUAGCGGUGGAAUGCGUAGAGAUCGGGAAGAACAUCGGUGGCGAAGGCGGCCAGCUGGGCCAUUGCUGACGCUGAUGCGCGACAGCGUGGGGAUCAAACAGG
rnacentral:rRNA from 1 species